rnacentral:rRNA from 1 species
AGUGAACGCUGGCGGCAGGCCUAACACAUGCAAGUCGAGCGGCAGCGGGUCGUAGCAAUACGAUGCCGGCGAGCGGCGGACGGGUGAGGAAUACAUCGGAAUCUACCCAGUCGUGGGGGAUAACGUAGGGAAACUUACGCUAAUACCGCAUACGACCUGAGGGUGAAAGCAGGGGACCGCAAGGCCUUGCGCGAUUGGAUGAGCCGAUGUCGGAUUAGCUAGUUGGUGAGGUAAAGGCUCACCAAGGCGACGAUCCGUAGCUGGUCUGAGAGGAUGAUCAGCCACACUGGAACUGAGACACGGUCCAGACUCCUACGGGAGGCAGCAGUGGGGAAUAUUGGACAAUGGGCGCAAGCCUGAUCCAGCCAUGCCGCGUGUGUGAAGAAGGCCUUCGGGUUGUAAAGCACUUUUGUCCGGGAAGAAAUCUUCCGACCUAAUACGUCGGGAGGAUGACGGUACCGGAAGAAUAAGCACCGGCUAACUACGUGCCAGCCGCCGCGGUAAUAC